GCUGCACAGUGUUCAAUGAAAAUAAGUGGCUGAAUAGAAAUAUCGUAGUCUCAAAACCCCAUUAAAAAAACUGUACAUUGUUUGUGGUUCGCAGAAGACACGCUUGUAGACUCGUGCUUUCGGUCAACGAAAUCAGUUAAGCGAUUAUAAGUCUUGUUGUAUUUGGAUAAGGUUUAAAAUUAAUGAAUGACUGUUUGUAAUAAGCUAAGCCGGACUUUUCGAAGUUUUAUCAAUGUUUCAUCUUUUUCUCGUGCCGUUAGAGUGAAUGGGAUAGACAAUGGCUUUACACUGACUCGGCCAGUCCGGUGAUAGCAAUAGAUUUAAUAAUUGAUUGCCUUCUAAAAAUCAAAUUAUCAUCUUAUGCGACAAUAUUUUUAUUUAUAUCUACUCAAGCACAUCAUACUAGUGAUUUUCAAGCUUAGUUUUUCUAUCAUGUAUAGUUUAAAGAGCCAAAUACGUUAAGGCAAGUUCCUGCGGGAAAAGGACAGUCGAUCACAGCUCACUUUGUUCCAAAUGUUUUUUAUGCAACUUUUUAAAACGGUGAAUGGUAUUCGCCUUGCUAAGAUUUCGUAAAAAUCAUUUACGAAACGGCAUCCGAAGACGCUAACUAAUUGAAGCUUGCAAAACUCUAGUGUGAAAUCAAACUGUUCAAAAACCUUGUCAAUUUCAUUUUGAACAUUAUGCAACAAAAUGGCAAUUUAUUUCACACCGUCACUGUAAUUGUUUUGAGAACAAGUUCGCGUCACGGAAAUUUAAAAAAUUACGAGAAAAUCAGGGCAACUAUUCCCACCGCUUGCCGCGCAUUCAUCUAUGACCAUUAUAAGUAUGAUUUCUAAGUAUAGUUCUUACAUGAUUUAUAGUUUCUACAGACGGCCGCACCGGACCGCGACCUUGGUGCGGUCUGGCGCACGUUCGAUCGUGUGUAAGGUUGUGUGCCGUACGUCCGUUAAGGACGCAGUUUAUAAGUGAGAGCAAAAAUGAGAUAUUUUGACCGCACCAAGGUCGCGGUCAAAAUAUACGCCCCUCUGUUACGGCUAUUAUAUUGGUUAUCUCGGUAAGCGUUCGGAAUAUGCCCGGCUAGGAGGCAUAUUUAAAAGUAUUUUUCUACUUGAUCGUUUAGGGACGCUGUGUAGAUAUUUUUGGACCAUUGUUGCGAUAUGAUCAGUAUUGGAUAGUGUUAGAUGGUUGGAAGUGAUUUGUCGAGAUUAGUAAACGCUUUGUAUAGACAUAACGCACCCUAUAAACAUUUGAACAUCUGUCUAUUCCUCGAAUAAAAAAAUAAUAAUUUUGAAGCAUUUAUUCUCUAGAACACAGCGUACGCUGUGACAAUAAACAGCAAAAAAUGUGAGAGAUCAAAGUUUUUUUUCAGAUCAGGUUUUACCUUUUCUACAUGGAAACAAUCGUCUCUUCUCGUUCUAGCUCGUAAGAGUGAACAGGACGAAUAUUUUUCUGCCAGAAAAUGUGUUAAAUUAUUCUAGGAAUAGACAGGCACGGUCUUAAGUGUUCUUGUGACCAUUGUAAUGGGCAAAGUAUUUAUGAAUGGUGCAUUUCAUUAUGUGUAACGCAUAGUCCUUAGCUGUACUUCCAUACAAGGUUUAAUCUUAGGUCCACCUCACACUAGCGUCUUUUGAGCGUCGGCGUUUAGUCAGCGCUAUGAAAAAUGGCGUCGCUGUACAGUUGCGCCAACGUUGCGUCGAGCAGCAGCCAUAGAGUUAACUAGACGCCGACGCUCGGGACACUAUAGUUUGGGGUGGCCCUUAAUAUAAAGUGGGUCUGUGAGCUUUAGGCCCCAUUCGCACGACAGCUUAAAAAGCGUUGCGUUAAAACCCGACGUUGGCGCUUUUUUACCGUUUCUAAUAUUUGUGUUCAUAUGAACGCUUAAAAAUCACUUGUGAGUCGUACUGCCACGUACGCAUCUCAGCAAAGCCAUACUUUAUUUGCUAUUACGACGUAUUAUUUAAAUAUAGCUUGAAUAUUCCAGGAAUUAGUAAGCAUAAGUUGACAUUUUUAAGGUGAAACUAAUAAUAAUUUUGACCAUUAACAUCAAAAAUGGACACUUGACAGCCAACUGACAGCAGCGCCGGCGCUUUUUUAACGCUUGUGAGAACAGAUAUGAUCAAUUCAAUUAACGGCCAACGCUCAACGCCGAAAAUCGAACAGUGCUCGAUAAAAAGGCCCCGCGCUUUAAAACCGCCUUCGUGUGAAUACAUACAUGGUUAUCCAUUUGUGUCAUUCAAACGCUUUUUUAACGCGCGUCGAAAAAGCUGCCGUGCGAACGGGGCCUUAAAGUUCGCGAACUCAUGUCGCCAGUCGCCGCCAUUUUGAAAAAAAUAGUAUAAAAACUGAAUCUACAAAAAACUGCUCAAAUAAUUUAACAAGAAUCGAUUAAGAAUUGCGACCUAUAGAGGGAGAACAGCAGGACAGACAGUAUUUUUGCCCAUGCUGAAACAGAGACGCUUGGGGUUAAAAGUUUUUAUCUUCUACGAGGACGAACUCACGGGCAAAGGCAUAUUUUAACACAUUCACUGCCAGCGACCCGCCAAGCGGGUUCUCUGUUCAUAGGCGCUUUUCGCUACAUACGGUUUUUCCCGUGUAGGCUACGCUGGUAGCGCGUAGCUCGUGCUGGGACGGAAUGUGUUGAGGUAUAAUUAAUUUGGUGUCCAUUAAGUUUUGCAGCAAUGGCUACUUUUCUACAAAAAUAGAUUCCAAUAAUGUACAGUGGCAAUCAUUGUAUAGAUUACCAGAGGAAAUAAAAUAAUGUUAAAAUUACCAAUGAAAGGACUCAUAUAUGUCUAUAUGACAGAUAUCGUCAAUUUAUUUUCUACCUUAUACCUAACAUGUUUAGAUAGAUUUUCGCGUGUACAUUUGUAUGGAAGUACAGUUAGCCACACAAGUAAUCCGUUAGGUACAGAACCGCUUCAUAUUUUUGUAUUCCCUUAGUGUAAAGGAGUUUGGUGUCUUCUAAAGGUGUACGCAACAUGCUAUAGAUGAAUAUUUCAUAAAUAUUUGGUUGAAAUAAUAAGUGCGUAAUAAAACACUUUUUCGUAACAAAA